rnacentral:rRNA from 1 species
UAGUCCACGCCGUAAACGAUGGUCACUAGCUGUUCGGGACUUCGGUCUGAGUGGCUAAGCGAAAGUGAUAAGUGACCCACCUGGGGAGUACGUUCGCAAGAAUGAAACUCAAAGGAAUUGACGGGGGCCCGCACAAGCGGUGGAGCAUGUGGUUUAAUUCGAUGAUACGCGAGGAACCUUACCAGGGCUUAAAUGAUAUAUGCAAUUUGCUGAAAGGCGAAGUUCCUUCGGGACGUAUAUCAAGGUGCUGCACGGUUGUCGUCAGCUCGUGCCGUAAGGUGUCAGGUUAAGUCCUAUAACGAGCGCAACCCCUACCGUUAGUUGCCAGCAUGUUAUGAUGGGGACUCUAGCGGGACUGCCGGUGCAAACCGAGAGGAAGGUGGGGAUGGACGUCAAAUCAUCACGGCCCUUACGUCCUGGGCUACACACGUGCUACAAUGGUAACGACAGAGGGCAGCCACCCCGCGAGGGGGANCGGAAUCCUUAAACGUUAUCUCAGUUCGGAUCGGAGUCUGCAACUCGACUCCG